rnacentral:rRNA from 1 species
GAUGAACGCUAGCGGCAGGCUUAAUACAUGCAAGUCGAACGGUAAGGUCUCUUCGGAGAUACACGAGUGGCGCACGGGUGCGUAACGCGUAUGCAACCUACCUUGAACUGGGGGAUAGCCCCGAGAAAUCGGGAUUAAUACCCCAUUGUAUCCAGAUCUCGCAUGUGAACUGGAUUAAAGUUUCAAUGGUUCAAGAUGGGCAUGCGUGACAUUAGCUUGUUGGUGAGGUAACGGCUCACCAAGGCAACGAUGUCUAGGGGUUCUGAGAGGAUUAACCCCCACACUGGUACUGAGACACGGACCAGACUCCUACGGGUGGCUG